rnacentral:rRNA from 1 species
UGGGAAACCCAUACCACACUGAAUGCGCCUGAUCUCGUCUGAUCUCAGAAGCUAAGCAGGGUCGGGCCUGGUACGUGGCAGUCCCAA